rnacentral:rRNA from 1 species
UACGAGGGGGGCAAGCGUUGUUCGGAAUUAUUGGGCGUAAAGGGCGCGUAGGCGGUUUGACAAGUCUGAUGUGAAAUCCCUGGGCUCAACCCAGAGUCUGCAUUAGAAACUGUCGGGCUUGAGUAUGGGAGAGGUGAGUGGAAUUUCCGGUGUAGCGGUGAAAUGCGUAGAUAUCGGAAGGAACACCUGUGGCGAAAGCGGCUCACUGGACCAUAACUGACGCUGAGGCGCGAAAGCUAGGGGAGCAAACAGG